UUUGGUGGCGAUGCGCUUAGGGGUAACACCCGUUCCCAUCCCGAACACGAUGGUAAAGACCUAAGCGGCGGAUGGUACUGCACUGGAGACGGUGUGGGAGAGUAGGUGGCCGCCAAAU
rnacentral:rRNA from 1 species